rnacentral:misc_RNA from 1 species
UGCACGCUGCUUUGGUUACUUGUCUUUCGCAAGAUGAAUGGCCAGGACCGUGUACAUCCAAUCACCAGGGAGAAACGAUCAAACCUGUAAUCGAUUCUGUAGAGAUAACACUUGAUUUUGUAAUCCUUUAUUACGAGAUAAUUUUGCUUAUUACAUAAAGCUAGGAGGCCAAUAAAAUGGGAGAUUUACGAGAGUUUUGAAACAAGACAUCGAUAGCUACCUUGGUCCGUUAUGUGGGACAGAACAGGAAGAAACGACAAUGACGUCUAUAGAUGUGACGCCAAUGCAUUUCUUGGCAAUAUAUUGAAACACAAGUACUUACGUAUGUGUAUACGAGAUACAGCAAGUACACGUACCAAAUCGGAUUUUUCUGCGUGGUACCGGUGAAAGGGAAAAGAUACCGGCGCGGCGCGGUGGUCUGGCAGGCCUAGAUACCCAAGAUCUGUCUGUCCUCUCAUUUAUAUUCAGCAAAGUUCAUGUUAUUUUAAGAUUUUCAUCUUUCAUAGAAUUUUUGAUUUCCUUCUCAUUUUGUUUAUUUGUAGGUUACGACCAUGGUACUACAUAUUGUAGCAAAUUGUAAAAUAUCAAUGAAGAGAAAGCUAUAGUUAUUCUUUGUUUAUCUAUAAUGGAGAUCAAG